rnacentral:misc_RNA from 1 species
AAGUCAGCAUGAACAACAUGAGCAUUACAAAUUGCCCCCAAAUUCUCGUUUACCAUGUGCUUUGCAAAAAAAUCUAUAAUAUCCUGAGAACGGACAGGCCGAUGUAGGAGCUUGGCUUCUGCAGCAUCAUAUUGCAUUGGUGUCCAGCUCUUCUUGCUUGGUGGAAGUAGGUUUUCAUCCCAUGUCACAAAGUAUAGAUCUCCAUCAAGGUCACUUCCAGAAGC